rnacentral:lncRNA from 10 species
GCAACCAAUGAAAUCCUUUAGGGGGUAUUUUAAACUCCUAAAAAUUCCUUAAUAGGGCCUUUGAGCUCCUAUGCUUGGGCCCUCUCCCACACUGUGGAGUGUACUUUCACUUUCAAUAAAUUCCUUUGUCCCUUCCUUGCUUUGUGCGUUUUGUCCAAUUCUUUGUUCAAGACACCAAGAACCUCGACACGAACCACCUUUAACAUAGUUUGGUGAACCAGCCUGGAGGCAGAGAGACCAUCAAGCUUCAGAUGAUCAUGCAACAAAAGUCCCAGCUAGUUCCAGGUGAAGACAACACACCUGGCCUUCAAAAAGCUACUCUGCCUCCACUAGAGAGAACAGGGCGAGAGUUCCAUGAUCCCCAGUAGGGCAUACCAGAAAUAACCAGUGGAAUCCUCUAGGGGGUAUUUAAACUCCCAAAAAUUCUGUAACGUGGCCUUGGAGCUCCUAUGCUCAGGUCCGCUCACACACUGUGGAGUGUACUUUCAUUUUCAAUAAAUUCCUUU